rnacentral:rRNA from 1 species
UACGGGGGGGGCAAGCGUUGUUCGGAAUUACUGGGCGUAAAGGGCCCGUAGGCGGUCAACUAAGUCGGAUGUGAAAUCCCCAGGCUCAACUUGGGAACUGCAUCCGAUACUGGAUGGCUUGAAUUCGGGAGAGGGGUGCAGAAUUCCGGGUGUAGCGGUGAAAUGCGUAGAUAUCUGGAGGAAUACCGGUGGCGAAGGCGGCAUCCUGGACCGACACUGACGCUGAGUGAGCGAAAGCCAGGGGAGCAAACAGG